rnacentral:snoRNA from 1 species
AAACCAUGCAUCGUGUUGAAACGAUCCCAUGCUUCAUAUAAUGUUUCAUCUUUCGAUUGCCUAAACGAUGUAAUAUCGUUACUAAGCUU